CCCAGCGGAACUCUGCAAGGUGUGACUGUCACACCAGGGUGUUACUGGACUCAAGGACAUAGCAGGGAGGGUGCCGGGCAAGUAGAUCACAGUCACUGGAAACGCUUUACAGUGGUCCCCAACUUGAUGACAAGGGACCUGCCAGAUCCAUCCCUCCAGGUCCCAGCUCCACCUGACAUGCCUGAAAGGACCCCAGCAUCCACCAGAAACACUUCCCUGCCGUGCGUCCUCCAUUUGAAACAACCAGCAUGGAUUCUGCUGUCCUGGUCAGACCCUGGCUAAAACAAGAGGUCAGCGAGUCUGUGACUCCCCAUCUCCCGGGAGGCAGAGACCAUGACAUGGGUAGAUGUACAAGGUGCGUGCUGUGGACAGCACGUGUGAAAGGAGGAGAGGGAGCAGCCGCCGGAGGAGAGAGCCUGAUGCCAGGGAGUGGGUGGGGGCGGAAGGAGCCGCAGACUGUGGCAGCACGCUGGGGAUGCCUGGCCGGCUGUAGGGGGCCCUGCCCCAGGCGUGGCCAGGCCCUCACGGCCCCUGGGCCCAGAGCCAGUCUGCGGCUGCCAGCAAGGGGCAGCCGGGCCACACACAGGAAAGGGCCCUGCAGCGCGUUCCGGCUAGAAGGGAGAUCCAAGUGGCCCCCCUCCAAGCUGCAGCAGCGAGCGGCUCUUCUGCAAAGACCAUCCAAACUACAUCUUGAUUGUGUCCUGAAGGAACGCUGCCGGAGUUGAAAGCAAACAAUGGGGGCUUUGUCCCGAGAGACCGGUGUCCGUGGUUCCCAGACCAAACUCUCUUCUCCAUGGACACUUUUACAUAGAUGAUUAAUCACAUGAGUCACAGCGGAUGGGAUGCUUGGGGGUUAGGGCCCAGCUGGGAUGAGUUAAAUGAUCUACAGAAUGCAGGGAAAUAUUUUAAGAGAUAAAUCUCAUCCAGUUGUCAAUUGGAACAUGGGAAACUAUGCUCUAAAAUUGAUGUCAGCCAGCUCUAGCCACUGGGCCAAAAACCUCCUGCUCAGAUGUAGGAAACCCACUCCUUUUAAUCACAUAUAAUUUAUAUCCAACAACAUGCACUCAUUUUAAAUGUCUCUGCCAAUGAUUUUUGAUAAAUGUGUUCACCUACAUAUAUUAAGUAGGCAUUUUGAUGCCUUUCAACAAAUGCACACAGCCAUGUAGCCCCCACCUCAAUGAAAUAUAGGACAUUUCCAUCACCCCUAAAAAGGCCUUUAUGUCCCUUUCCAGUCAACUCAUACCCUGAGCUCCAGACGACUUACCUAAACUAAUAGAUUUGUCUGCUACGGAAUUUCACAUAAAUGGAACCACGUUCUCUGUGCUCUUGUGCGUGGCUUCCUUUACUCAGCAUCAUGUCCGUGAGUCACUCAGGUCACUGUGCCCCAUCAGUUUCCCACUUUAUACUGAGGGGUAGUUUGUUUUCUGUUGCCCAGAUGACCUCAUUUUGUUUAUCCAUUCAUCUGUUCACAGAUAUUCCAUGAUUUCCAGUUG